GACGAACGCUGGCGGCGUGCUUAACACAUGCAAGUCGAACGGAAAGGCCCUGCUUUUGUGGGGUGCUCGAGUGGCGAACGGGUGAGUAACACGUGAGUAACCUGCCCUUGACUUUGGGAUAACUUCAGGAAACUGGGGCUAAUACCGGAUAGGAGCUCCUGCUGCAUGGUGGGGGUUGGAAAGUUUCGGCGGUUGGGGCUGGACUCGCGGCUUAUCAGCUUGUUGGUGGGGUAGUGGCUUACCAAGGGUUUGACGGGUAGCCGGCCUGGGAGGGUGACCGGGCACAAUGGGACUGAGAUACGGACCAGACGCCUACGGGAGGCAGCAGUGGGAAAUAUUACACAGUGAGCGGAAGCCUGAUGCAGCAGCGCCGCGUGCGGGAUGACGGCCUUCGGGUUGUAAACCGCUUUCGCCUGUGACGAAGCGUGAGUGACGGUAAUGGGUAAAGAAGCACCGGCUAACUACGUG
rnacentral:rRNA from 1 species